rnacentral:ncRNA from 1 species
CACCGUGAGGUGGAAUCUGAAGGAAGCCGGAUGUGGGAGCAGACUAACCACGGGCAAACCUCUGGCCUGACGAACAGAAACCACAUAUAAGGCAACGUAUGAGGGUAAGGCUCCUAGACAAGUCAAAGCCCGAUAGCUACACGGAAUCAUGCGGGGUAAAUGUGGCAGGUAGAUGGAGGGAACGU